rnacentral:tRNA from 1 species
GCCUGGGUGGCUCAGCCGGUUGAGCGUCAGACUUCAGCUCAGGUCACGAUCUCGCGGUCCGUGAGUUCGAGCCCCGCGUCAGGCU